AGCAUAUCAAUAAGCGGAGGAAAAGAAACUAACAAGGAUUCCCCUAGUAACUGCGAGUGAAGCGGGAAAAGCUCAAAUUUAAAAUCUGUCAGUCUUUGGCUGUCCGAGUUGUAAUCUAGAGAAGCGUUAUCCGCGCUGGACCGUGUACAAGUCUCCUGGAAUGGAGCGUCAUAGAGGGUGAGAAUCCCGUCUUUGACACGGACUGCCAGGGCUUUGUGAUGCGCUCUCAAAGAGUCGAGUUGUUUGGGAAUGCAGCUCAAAAUGGGUGGUAAAUUCCAUCUAAAGCUAAAUAUUGGCGAGAGACCGAUAGCGAACAAGUACCGUGAGGGAAAGAUGAAAAGAACUUUGGAAAGAGAGUUAAACAGUACGUGAAAUUGCUGAAAGGGAAACGCUUGAAGUCAGUCGCGUUGUCCAGGGAUCAACCUUGCUUUUGCUUGGUGUACUUUCUGGUUGACGGGUCAGCAUCAAUUUUGACUAUUGGAAAAAGAUCAGGGGAAUGUGGCAUCCUUUGGAUGUGUUAUAGCCUUUGGUUGCAUACAAUGGUUGGGAUUGAGGAACUCAGCACGCCGCAAGGCCGGGUUUUUAACCACGUACGUGCUUAGGAUGCUGGCAUAAUGGCUUUAAUCGACCCGUCUUGAAACACGGACCAAGGAGUCUAACAUGCCUGCGAGUGUUUGGGUGGAAAACCCGAGCGCGUAAUGAAAGUGAAAGUUGAGAUCCCUGUCGUGGGGAGCAUCGACGCCCGGACCAGACCUUUUGUGACGGCUCCGCGGUAGAGCAUGUAUGUUGGGACCCGAAAGAUGGUGAACUAUGCCUGAAUAGGGUGAAGCCAGAGGAAACUCUGGUGGAGGCUCGUAGCGAUUCUGACGUGCAAAUCGAUCGUCAAAUUUGGGUAUAGGGGCGAAAGACUAAUCGAACCAUCUAGUAGCUG
rnacentral:rRNA from 1 species